rnacentral:rRNA from 1 species
AGCUAAUACCGGAUACCCCCACCGAGCGCAUGGUUUGGUGAGGAAAUGGAUUCCGCUUCGGGAGGGCCUCGCGGCCUAUCAGCUAGUUGGUGGGGUAGCGGCCCACCAAGGCAUCGACGGGUAGCUGGUCUGAGAGGACGAUUCAGCCACACUGGGACUGAGACACGGCCCAGACUCCUACGGGAGGCAGCAGUGGGGAAUCUUGCGCAAUGGGCGAAAGCCCUGACGCAGCAACGCCGCGUGGGGAUGAAGGCUCUCGGGUUGUAAACCCCUUUCAGCAGGGACGAAUCAAGACGGUACCUGCAGAAGAAGCCCCGGCUAACUACGUG